rnacentral:rRNA from 1 species
AUUGAACGCUGGCGGCGUGCUUAACACAUGCAAGUCGUGCGGUAACAGGCGUAGCAAUACGUGCUGACGAGCGGCGAACGGGUGCGUAAUACAUGGGAAUCUGCCCUUUAGUGGGGAAUAACCCGGCGAAAGCCGGGCUAAUGCCGCAUAAGAUCUUCGGAUGAAAGCGGGGGAUCGUAAGACCUCGCGCUGAUGGAUGAGCCCAUGUCGGAUUAGCAGUUGGUGAGGUAACGGCUCACCAAGGCGACGAUCCGUAGCUGGUCUGAGAGGACGGCCAGCCACACUGGGACUGAGACACGGCCCAGACUCCUACGGGAGGCAGCAGUGGGGAAUAUUGGACAAUGGGCGAAAGCCUGAUCCAGCGACGCCGCGUGUGUGAAGAAGGCCUGCGGGUUGUAAAG